rnacentral:rRNA from 1 species
GACGAACGCUGGCGGCGUGCUUAACACAUGCAAGUCGAACGGAAAGGCCCUGCUUUUGUGGGGUGCUCGAGUGGCGAACGGGUGAGUAACACGUGAGUAACCUGCCCUUGACUUUGGGAUAACUUCAGGAAACUGGGGCUAAUACCGGAUAGGAGCUCCUGCUGCAUGGUGGGGGUUGGAAAGUUUCGGCGGUUGGGGCUGGACUCGCGGCUUAUCAGCUUGUUGGUGGGGUAGGGGCUUACCAAGGGUUUGACGGGUAGCCGGCCUGAGAGGGUGACCGGGCACAUUAGGACUGAGGGAGGGAGCAGAAGGGAACGGGCGGCAGCGGUGGGGAGCAUGACGGAGUAGGGCGGAGUCAGAGGCAGCGGCCUCGGGAUCGGGAUAACGGGCUUCGAGGGAAAAACAAAUGUCGCCGUAAACAAGCCGUGAGUGACGGUACCGGAUAAGAAAGCCCCGGCUAACUACGUG